rnacentral:lncRNA from 1 species
CCAGUACGCUUCUCUCCUCAGGAAACUGCCACGGGCAUCCCUGGUCAGUGACCCCGGGCUCGCCUCCAGUUUCUAAGAUAGUUUCUUCACCGUUUCCAAAGAAGCGGCCCAGAUUCUGCAAAGCAGAGAACGCCCUUCCCCCCUUUCCACUUUUUACUUCAGAAUUUAAGUCUUUGCCGUUCUGUGGACAUAUCUUGCCCACAGAGCGCUCCUACAAACUCCCGACUAUGGGAUCCUCCAGGGCGCGCCGCUCACCUCACCAGGUGUAUCCCCAAGCCCUCAGCUGCCAGGCACAAAAGGUUUAACAUCUUCUACCAAGGCCUGCCCU